rnacentral:misc_RNA from 1 species
UCAGUUCGCUGAGUCACUAAACAAUAAGAGACAUGGAAAGGAAGUGGGUCCAUGGGCAUCUGAAGCUAUUUUUCCAAGACACAAAAAUUCAGAUCAGGCUACCUUCAUAGCCGCAGUGCGAAAGAGACUAAGAUUCUCAAAUCCAAGAGAGAAUAUUAGACGAUUUAAAGAAUCGAGAGGGUUGGGUAAGGAGAUGCUCAAGGUGCUACUCAACGAGAUCAAAUUUGACACUGAAUUUGAUAACAACUUGUAUGAGCAGUCAGUUGCCGAAUUUGAAGAGAAGAAGAUUUCAAAGGAUGCAAAAACCAUAGAAAACCAUCAUGUUAGGUCCUUGAAAGAUUGGAAAGUAAAUGAAAUCUUCUUAUUCAUAAAGAGCCAAUUGUGUACUAAAAGUGAGAAAAUGUACACUGACGCCAAAGCUGGUCAAACUCUUGCAUGUUUUUCACAUGAGUUGCUCAUCAGAUUUGCACCUUUAGCUAGAUACAUUGAGCACAAAUUAUCUAAAGCUUUACCCAAGAGGUUUUAUAUUCACCAAAAAAAAAAUUUUGAUGAGUUAAAUAAAUGGGUUAUUGAAAGGAAUUUCUCAUCAAUUUGCACGGAAUCUGACUAUGAGGCUUUUGAUUCUAGUCAAGACGCAGCUUCCCUAGCUUUUGAAGUGGCACUCAUGAAUCAUUUGAAUAUUCCAAUGGAUUUAAUUGAGGAAUAUAUUCAACUUAAAAUUCAUUUGGACAGCAAAUUGGGAACCUUAGCUAUAAUGAGAUUUACCGGUGAAUUCGCAACUUUCCUGUUUAACACUCUGAUGAACAUGGUUUUCACAUUUAUGAAAUACAAAAUAAAUGAUGAUGUGUCUAUAUGUUUUGCCGGUGAUGACAUGUGUGCUAAUGCUAGGCUUAAGGAGAGAAAUGACUAUGAAGAUGUGCUCAAAGGUUUAAGUUUGAAAGCCAAGGUGGGAUAUACCUCAUGUCCGAGUUUUUGUGGGUGGUUAAUGACGAAGUAUGGUAUUCUUAAAGAUCCCAAAUUGAUUGAGUCAAGAUUACGUGUAGCAGAUGAAAAAGGAACAUUGGAUCUGGUUUUGGAUUCAUAUUUUCUUGAGUAUAAAUAUAGUUUUGAAUUAGGUGAUCACCUCAUGGAAGUCCUGUCUGAUGAACAAUUGGGAUACCACUACACUUUGACUAGAUUCUUUGUGCUACAUAAGGAGAAACUUAAGGGAGCUGCCAAAGAAAUUCUAAUGACUUCAGCUGAUGAAGGAAAGAUAAUGUUCGGUGAAGUAGUUUUUGGUAAUUCCUCGAUUGGAUUCAAUUGGAAAUCCAAUUUAGGUCAGAAUUUUAAGGAUGUGAUAGAUGUGAAAUGGCAGUCA